UACGUAGGGGCAAGCGUUGUCCGGAAUUAUUGGGCGUAAAGAGCUCGUAGGCGGUUUGUCGCGUCGACUGUGAAAACCCGAGGCUUAACCUCGGGCCUGCAGUCGAUACGGGCAGACUAGAGUGAUGUAGGGGAGACUGGAAUUCCUGGUGUAGCGGUGAAAUGCGCAGAUAUCAGGAGGAACACCGGUGGCGAAGGCGGGUCUCUGGGCCGAUACUGACGCUGAGGAGCGAAAGCGUGGGGAGCAAACAGG
rnacentral:rRNA from 1 species